AGAGACGCAUAUGGACAAUUGAUUAUGUCUGGAAGCGUGUGUCCCGUAUAGCUAGUCGAUGCAUAUCUAGCGUAGAUGAUGACAAAACAAGUGGCCAAAUAUCGUCAGCUUUAAUACGCAAAUCAUUGAAGUCGAUUUUAAUCGCAGAAUCAUUACAAAAGUGGACAAUCCUGGAUGACAAUAACUGCGAAAUAUGUAUGGUUAAUGGACAAUUGGAAAAAGAAAAUCUUUCCUUUCGCCGAGUAUCAGAAAUAAAUCAUUUUAACUGCGCAACAAAAAUCAAAAUAUGUUGUGCCUGCAUGAGGAAUUCGUACGUAAAUCCAAUCAAGUGUCAGGAGUGCGAUAACGAGAUCAAAUCUAUCAUAGGGGAUGGAUGGGGCGCCAUUUUAAUAGCUGGAUUCGACGAAGACAAUUCGUUUCAAAAUGAUGUGAAGAUGUUUGCACAUGCUAUAUCAUCGAAAGUUCUACCAUCGAUGUGUGUAAG